rnacentral:rRNA from 1 species
CUACGGGGUGCACCAGUCGGGGAACUUUUGCAAUGCGCGCAAGCGUGACAAAGCGGGCCAGAGUGUUUCUCUUAUCAGAGAAACUUUUGUCAGCUGUAAAAAGGCUGACGAAUAAGGACUGGGUAAGACCGGUGCCAGCCGCCGCGGUAAUACCGGCGGUCCGAGUCGCAGCCACAAUUAUUGGGUCUAAAACAUCCGUAGCUUGUUUUGCAAGUCUCUUGUGAAAUCCUAUAUCUCAAGUAUAGGGCGUGCAGGAGAAACUGCAUUACUAGAGACCGGAAGACGUAGCGAGUACGACCGAGGUAGUGGUAAAAUACGUUAAUCUUGGUUGGACUAACAAUGGCGAAGGCACGCUACGAGGACGGAUCUGACAGUCAGGGAUGAAGGCCAGGGGCGCAAAAUGGAUUAGAUACCCCUGUAGUC